rnacentral:rRNA from 1 species
GCACCGACUUCGGAAGGGGUGCAUUUAUUAAACCAAAGCCAAUCAACCUUCGGGCUGUCUCGGGUCGACUCUGAAUAACUUUGCUGAUCGCACAGUCUUUGCACUGGCGACGUAUCUUUCAAGUGUCUGCCUUAUUAACUGUUGAUGGUAGAUUAUGCGCCUACCAUGGUUGUAACGGGUAACGAG